GUGCCAGCCGCCGCGGUAAGACGAACCGAGCGAACGUUGUUCGGAAUCACUGGGCUUAAAGGGCGCGUAGGCGGGCUGCCGCGUCCGGGGUGAAAUCCUCCGGCUCAACCGGGGAACGGCCUCGGAUACGGGCGGCCUCGAGGGGGGUAGGGGCAUGCGGAACUGUGAGUGGAGCGGUGAAAUGCGUUGAUAUUCACAGGAACUCCGGUGGCGAAGGCGGCGUGCUGGACCCCAUCUGACGCUGAGGCGCGAAAGCCAGGGGAGCAAACGGGAUUAGAUACCCUUGUAGUCC
rnacentral:rRNA from 1 species